CCUACGGGUGGCAGCAGUGAGGAAUAUUGGUCAAUGGACGAGAGUCUGAACCAGCCAAGUAGCGUGAAGGAUGACUGCCCUAUGGGUUGUAAACUUCUUUUAUAUGGGAAUAAAAUGUUCCACGUGUGGGAUUUUGUAUGUACCAUAUGAAUAAGGAUCGGCUAACUCCGUGCCAGCAGCCGCGGUAAUACGGAGGAUCCGAGCGUUAUCCGGAUUUAUUGGGUUUAAAGGGGGCGUAGGUGGAUUGUUAAGUCAGUUGUGAAAGUUUGCGGCUCAACCGUAAAAUUGCAGUUGAUACUGGCAGUCUUGAGUACAGUAGAGGUGGGCGGAAUACGUGGUGUAGCGGUGAAAUGCUUAGAUAUCACGAAGAACUCCGAUUGCGAAGGCAGUUCACUGGACUGCAACUGACACUGAGGCUCGAAAGUGUGGGUAUCAAACAGGAUUAGAUACCCUUGUAGUC
rnacentral:rRNA from 1 species